CCAGGUCACUGCUCACCUGCCAGGUGUGGUCCCAGGUCACUGCUCACCUGCCAGGUGUGGUCCCAGGUCAGUGCUCACCUGCCAGGUGGGGUCCCAGGUCCCCCCUCACCUGCCAGCCCCCAGCCCUGCCCCCCGGGCCCGUGUGUGUGUGUGCCCCCCCCAGGGGUCCCUCUGCCCUGGUUUUUGGGGUGUCCCGGCCCUGGUCCCUCCCGCCCCCCGUCCCUGUGCCCUCCCCCUGUAGGUGCCUGUAGGUGUUUGGGGGCCGGCGGGCCCUGGGGGGGUCCCGAGCCCCCCGGGGGUCCCGCACGGCCGAUUUAGGAACAUGCCGUCCUGUGUGCUCAUUAAAGACCGUUCACAGCG